rnacentral:rRNA from 1 species
AUGAGUGGCGAACGGGUGAGUAACACGUGAGUAACCUGCCCUCUUCUUUGGGAUAACGCCCGGAAACGGGUGCCAAUACUGGAUAUUCACUGAUCUUCGCAUGGGGGUUGGUGGAAAGGUUUUUUCUGGUGGGGGAUGGGCUCGCGGCCUAUCAGCUUGUUGGUGGGGUGAUGGCCUACCAAGGCUUUGACGGGUAGCCGGCCUGAGAGGGUGACCGGUCACAUUGGGACUGAGAUACGGCCCAG